AUAGAAGGCUAAAUACAAUCCAUUAAAACUAGAGAAGUUCAGCAUAAUCUGCCACCAAAUGUUAUGGUAUUUGCACAAUUUUUGCAUAUAGAAAUUUAACCCAAAUCCAAACCGAUGAGGGAAAAAAGUCAUCAUAAUUAUUUAGUGCUAAGCACAAGUUCAAAGCAUAGGCCUCAGCACCUAACCAAAACCCAAAACAGAGUAAUUCCGAAGCAGCUAGGAAGACAUCGUAUCGGUUUCUAACAAUGAAUUUCAAUUCUUCUUCACAGUGGCGGAGUUGAUGAUGUCAAUGAAUCGUAUGACACAUGGACUGACACAAAGUGUGGGAGAGCAGAUGUGCUCAUGAGAAAAAGGUACAAGUACAUUUCCCAAGGUUAACACGUUAACAAAGUUUUGUACUAUAUCAUAUAUCUUUGUAUCAGAGUCCAUCAUUUUGGGUCUACAAGUCUAGUAAUAGUGUGUGACCUUUUUUUCUACUAUGGAUUGUCAUAGUCUUAUAGAGAACCAUAGCCUGAUGUAGCUACUACUAGCUAGGGAUCAAAGGGUUCAUGCAUGGACAAGGACAAGGAUGAAGACCUGAUGAAAGAACAUUGUUUUUCUAUAUUUAUUUAUUACAAGUUAGAAAUAAUGAUAAUAUACCCUUUUCGUGAAUUUCAUUAAAUUAAAGGCAGAUAUAUGUGAUUUGUUUUCUUAAUUCAUAUUUGUGAUAUGUUUAGUUAAAAAUAAAAUUCACCUAGCUCUAAAAUUUUAGAAUAAUAUUCUUCCUACAUUCAUUUUGAAUAUCUAAAAUGGUAUAGAGAAAUAGAAAGGAAGGGAUAGAGUAAUGAAUGGAGAUAGUAUAGUGUUUUAAAUUUCUUAUGUUUUUAAAGCAUGUGUCUCUCUAGUAGGAGAAGAUGUUCACUUUAAAGUUAAAGUUAUAUUUAUAUUGAGUUGUAUAGUACAUUAAAGUAGUUGUAGGAGAUGGUGAAAGAGAAUGACCUACCAUACUGACUACUAAGGUAGCUGUCCCCUAAUUUAUUUAAUUAUACAUAAAUGAAGGAAGGAAGGUCACUUUUGGGGAAUGAGAGAGAUUUGCAAGGACAUAGUACUAACAUAGAGAGAAAGUCACGCAAUUCACACCUUUGAUUAGACACAACACAACACAACAACGUGGCCCAUACUAACAUGUCACUACCUGCCUUCUACUCUAAUCACUCAUACCUUAAUCAUCUACUUAAAUUAUAUCCUUAUAAUCAAUUCAACUCUUAAUGAAUAAGAUUGAUAUGGUGGUAUAAAGUUCUAUUAGACCCAAAAAACCAAAAGGUCUAAAUUUGAUUCAUUAAAACAACACUUGUUGGAAGGAAUUGACAUAUACUCUAAGGAUUUGUAGCUUUGUUGGAUGGGGGAUUUAAUUUCUCUCUGAUUAUCUUGUACAUUUGUUAUUCUGCUGGUAUUUUUCUUACUCUUUUAAUAAAAUUUUCACUUAUAAAAAAAAUGACAGAGAGUCCAAGGAGAGUUCGCAUGCUGGAACCGGAACAAUGACUCCACUACAAGCCUAUAAAUUUUGAAACUUACGUUUGGUGAAAUAAAAAUUUAGGACCCCAAGUUUAAUAAAAAGAGUCCUCAUUUUAAGGUUAAGAGUAAGGUUGUAGUGAAUUUGGAACUCAAGUUCUGUUAUUAUGAGAGCAAAAUGUCACCUAGUAGACCAACACUUAUUAAUGUCUCAUUUUUUGUUUGUACUUUUGCUGGCAGAUAUCAAACAGAUUAUAGUUUAUAGGCAUAUCUCAGCCCCAUCUACUAUUCUGUGAUAUGCAUUAUAGAAGGCUAAAUACAAUCCAUUAAAACUAGAGAAGUUCAGCAUAAUCUGCCACCAAAUGUUAUGGUAUUUGCACAAUUUUUGCAUAUAGAAAUUUAACCCAAAUCCAAACCGAUGAGGGAAAAAAGUCAUCAUAAUUAUUUAGUGCUAAGCACAAGUUCAAAGCAUAGGCCUCAGCACCUAACCAAAACCCAAAACAGAGUAAUUCCGAAGCAGCUAGGAAGACAUCGUAUCGGUUUCUAACAAUGAAUUUCAAUUCUUCUUCACAGUGGCGGAGUUGAUGAUGUCAAUGAAUUCC
rnacentral:lncRNA from 1 species